rnacentral:tRNA from 1 species
GGGCUCGUAGCUCAGACAGGCAGAGCACCUGGCUUUUAUACCAGAUGGUCGGGGGUUCAAAUCCCUCCGAGCCCG